rnacentral:rRNA from 1 species
UGGGGAAUAUUGCACAAUGGGGGAAACCCUGAUGCAGCGACGCCGCGUGAACGAAGAAGGUAUUCGUAUCGUAAAGUUCUGUCCUAUGGGAAGAUAAUGACAGUACCAUAGAAGAAAGCUCCGGCUAAAUACGUGCCAGCAGCCGCGGUAAUACGUAUGGAGCGAGCGUUGUCCGGAAUUAUUGGGCGUAAAGGGUACGCAGGCGGUUUAAUAAGUCGAAUGUUAAAGAUCGGGGCUCAACCCCGUAAAGCAUUGGAAACUGAUAAACUUGAGUAGUGGAGAGGAAAGUGGAAUUCCUAGUGUAGUGGUGAAAUACGUAGAUAUUAGGUGGAAUACCAGUAGCGAAGGCGACGUUCUGGACACAAACUGACGCUGAGGUACGAAAGCGUGGGGAGCAAACAGG